AUAAUGCUUCCUAAAGUUUAAUGCGCAUCUGAAUCACCUGGGCAUUUUGUUAAAAGGCAAAUUCUGACUACAGCAGCCCUGCAACUGGGCCUGAGAUCCUGCAGGGCUAGAAAGUUCUCAAACAAUGCUAAUGCCGCUGGACUUCACUGUGAGUAGCAAUCUGCUAGGGCAUACGUUUGAUUUUGUUUUGAUUAGUUUUACACGGAAACAUCUUCCUCCAUCGCUACAAAACUUACUCUUCAAUCCUGACAACUCUGAUGUGGUAUCAUGCCAGGUAAAAUGAUGUGAGUUAUGGAACUGGAGACUCCUCGUGGGCUUGAUCGAGUAAGUAGUCAUGUUGGAGAAGCUCACACUGCAGGCAGCCUCUAGGAAUAACAGGAAGCUUCCGGGACCUGGAGGUGACCUCCAAUCAAUAGCCAGUAAAAAGCUAGGGCCCUAUAGAUUACAGAUACAAGGACACAAUUUCUAUCAACAACUUCAACGAAUUUGGGUGCAGAUUCUUCCUUGUUUGAGCUUCCAGAUGAAAAUGCAGCCCAGCAGCCUUGUAAAACCCCGAGCAGGGGACGCAGUGAAGCCAUGCCUUGACCUAAGGAAA